CCACAUCAUAUCUUAUUAAAUCAGCUCAUCACGUCUUAUUAUAAUUGAAUUUACUCAACGUUUAAACACUUAAAACUUACCUCGGAAGUUGCCGAACGAUUACGACGGCUCUUCGAUCACUUUUUUCCUUUCCCUUAUCCAACUUUGAUCCUCUAGGCUCUUGAGCUAAAUCAAACAAAUUUACUUCAUGAUACAUUCGGCCUUGGCAACAAUUUC
rnacentral:lncRNA from 1 species